AUGAGAGCUCUCACGCCUUCCCCUCCACAAUCACACCAUCCUCCUCUGCUCCCCCUGCUCCUCUUCACCUCUGCUCCAUUACCUUCUUUCUCUGCCUGCCUGGGGGAGCUAGCUAGAAAGAGAGAAAGAAAGAAGCUCGCCGGCGUCGGGGAGGAUGUCGGACUGGGGGGCGGUGGUGAUUGCGGUGGUGCUGUCGCCGGGGCUGCUGCUGCAGCUCCCCGGGAAGCACCACUUCGUGGAGUUCGGAAACAUGCACACCAGCGCCAUGGCCAUCCUCGUCCACGCCAUCCAUCCAUCCCAACUGGACUUGUUCGACAGGAAAGGAAGAUGGCUGAUUCCCCAGCCUGCUCUAUAUGUUGGGCGGAGGAGGACACUUGGCACCAUUCACUACUCAGUUGCUAUAUGGCAAGAUUUGUGUGGGUGUUGGAAGACGAAGAGCAGCUCGAGCAUGUGAUCUCAAACCAAAACAAAAAUGCAAGGUUAUGGCUGUUCUGGCUCUUUAAGACAACAAACCAACAAGAUCUUGCUCGAGUAUUGGUAACUAUGUGGGCAAUAUGGUGGGCUCGGAGGAAGGCAAUCCAUGAGAAUGAAUACCAGAGCCCGCUCUCAACUAGGCCUCGGGCAAGAAUUUGGUUACCUCCUUCGGGUGAUGCAGCUAAACUUAACUGUGAUGGUGGUCUAUCAACUCUGGGGGAGAGAGGAGCAGCUGGAGUUGUCUGUCGAGACAAGUUUGGGAAGUUUUUAGGCGCGUCAGCGGUGGUCUUCGACGGCCUGACCAACCCGGCAAGCUUGGAGGCACAAGCUUGCAGCGAGGCGCUAGCCCUCACACGGGAUUUCAAUCUACAGGAGCUAGUGAUUGCCUCAGAUUGUGUCGAAGUGAUAUCAAAUAUCAACAAGGCAGGUUCACCAUCUUAUGCUCCUAUCCUAGGACGAGACUUGCCUGCUCCCUUCCCGUGCUCCUAUCCGUGCUCCCGCCGCCGACGCACGACUCGCUGCAUGCGCGCAUCUAGGGUAGUUGGGCGAAACUUGGCCGGCGGCAGCACUGCGCAACCAACCCAGAUCAGCGGCGACGGCCGAAGCUGUCAUGUCGUGCCCGGCGACCACAACGAGAGACGCGCAAGAAUACAAAUCCUAUGGGCAGUCUCCCUGUUGACUAGUAUCAUGUUACCGAUCCAAAAAUCCGAAUUAGGUCACAUCAUUUUCUUUGAUUUAGAUGGAAUUAGCUAG
rnacentral:rRNA from 1 species